CAGUAGGCCGAUCGUCCCACAUCGACAUAACCUGCAAAUUCAAUUCGUACCGUAUUUAUUGAUGGUAUUUGAAACCGUUACAACUCUCCCCUUACGAUAAAAAAAAAAAAAACACAGCAUCCCCCGCCGAAGGUAUCCAGACAUCGAAGAGCCUCCAACCAUCACAUCAAACGACAUGAAAAAGUGAAAGAUAUCUGACCACUGAAGGUGACCAGAUACCGACAGGUCCAGCUAAAUGACAGGAAAAGUACCGACUCAACUAAAAAGAAAACUAAGAAAGGGCCGAAAUUUUUAUGUAAUACUUUUUUUUCAAGAACUAAAAAGAGAACUUUUCCGCAGCCCGAGUCGAAGACCACGGAAAAGGCGCUGGACCUGGAGGACUUCAUUUAUUCUCAAAGUCGCAACCUCAACGACUCCCACCACAACCUUAGGAAGUGAUGUCACAAUCGGGUGUCACGAUCGGGAAAACGACAAAAUCGGGAAAGAUAGUCAAAAUCGGCAGAACGGUGGUCCUCGUGGGCAAAGAGCAACGGCUCAGUGCACGACCAACCGCAAGUCUUGACUCGUCGGGAGUCCUACGGUAAUACAAAAAAAAAUAAUCUUUAGUCAAAAUCGGGAAGUUAGCUUUAAAUCAGGGGUCCUCGUGGGCAAAGAGCAACGGCUCAAUGCACGACCCGCUGAGAGUCAUAACUCGUCGGGAGUCUUACGGCAGUUAUCGUUUCAAAAUCGGUAA